rnacentral:rRNA from 1 species
UGGCUCAGGACGAACGCUGGCGGCGUGCUUCAUACAUGCAAGUCGAACGAUAAGGCACCUUCGGGUGUACAUAAGUGGCGGACGGGUGAGUAAUAGUGUAGAGAAUCUGCCCUAGAGAGUGGGACAACAGUUGGAAACGACUGCUAAUACCGCAUAUGAGCGUACCUGAAAUGGUAUUCUUGAAAAACUCCGGUGCUCUGGGAUGAGUCCGCAUCUGAUUAGCUAGUUGGGGGUGUAAUGGACCACCAAGGCGACGAUCAGUAGCUGGUUUGAGAGGAUGAUCAGCCACAAUGGGACUGAGACACGGCCCAUACUCCUACGGGAGGCAGCAGUAGGGAAUUUUGCGCAAUGGGGGAAACCCUGACGCCAGCAACGCCGCGUGACCGAUGAAGCCCUUCGGGGUGUAAAGGUCUGUCAGUGGGGACGAAUAUUGACGGUACCCACAGAGGAAGCAUCGGCUAACUCCGUGCCAGCCGCAGC